rnacentral:rRNA from 1 species
AACGAACGCUGGCGGCAUGCCUAACACAUGCAAGUCGAACGAGAUCUUCGGAUCUAGUGGCGCACGGGUGCGUAACGCGUGGGAAUCUGCCCUUUGGUUCGGAAUAACUUCGGGAAACUGAAGCUAAUACCGGAUGAUGACUUCGGUCCAAAGAUUUAUCGCCAAAGGAUGAGCCCGCGUAAGAUUAGCUAGUUGGUGGGGUAAAGGCCUACCAAGGCGACGAUCUUUAGCUGGUCUGAGAGGAUGAUCAGCCACACUGGGACUGAGACACGGCCCAGACUCCUACGGGAGGCAGCAGUGGGGAAUAUUGGACAAUGGGCGAAAGCCUGAUCCAGCAAUGCUGCGUGAGUGAUGAAGGCCUUAGGGUUGUAAAGCUCUUUUACCCGGGAUGAUAAUGACAGUACCGGGAGAAUAAGCUCCGGCUAACUCCGUGCCAGCCGCCGCCGUAA